AGGUGGUUGCGAGAAUCUUAGUGUCAUUCGAUUGUGACCUCGAGAUUCUCGGAGAGUGCAUCUCUGAUUAGGCUUGUGAUCACGAGUUAGUUAGCCAAGUUAUCUUGCUGAGCUAUUUGAGCGAUGCGGACCGUUGUAUUGGCUUGUGCAACUAUUUGGUCAUGGUGAUUGAAUUGUGUCUCAUAUCUCGUUUGGACCGGUUGACCAAACCGUUUGACGUUUUGAUCGAGCUAUAUGACUCAAUUUUCUAGUCGUAUGUUACACAUGCUCUUCAAGUGGAGGGUCUCCGAGGAGUAGUAACAGCGCCUGCUAAGCUUGAAUCAACCGCGCUAGUCUUUGCGUAUGGUGUUGGUCUCUUUUUCACUCGCCUUGCGCCAUCAAGGACCUACGAUUCACUUACUGAGGAUUUUAACUAUGCUUUGUUGCUUAUAACAAUUGUUGUACUCGUCGUGGCAAUUUUCGUCACAUGGAUUUUGUCAGAGAAGAAAGAGCUACGAGACAAGUGGAGGUGAAUUUGUUUCUCAAGUCUCUUUGCCAUAACUAUAUAUUCCUCACUUUUAGACAAAAACGUCAUCAUUAUUUUGCUAUGGAAUUAGAUUAGAAGAUUCACCCCGAACUUGUAAUUUUAACUGAUUUUGUAGCUUGUCCACUUGUAGAUGCAAUUUUUCCCAUCAUUAUUACACUAGGAAGUGUAGUCCUAAUUUUAAUACGUAAUUUAAUUUUACAACAUUUUUUUCUUAAUAAAUG
rnacentral:misc_RNA from 1 species